GGUUAAGUUAAUAAGGGCGCACGGUGGAUGCCUUGGCACUAAGAGCCGAUGAAGGACGGGACUAACUCCGAUAUGCUUUGGGGAGCUGUAAGUAAGCUUUGAUCCAAAGAUUUCCGAAUGGGGGAACCCAGCAUUUUUUAUAGAAUGUUACUGCUAGCUGAAUACAUAGGCUAGUAGAGGUAGACGCAGAGAACUGAAACAUCUAAGUACCUGCAGGAAGAGAAAGAAAAUUCGAUUCCCUGAGUAGCGGCGAGCGAAACGGGGAAGAGCCCAAACCAAAGAGCUUGCUCUUUGGGGGUUGUAGGACACGACAUUAAGAGUCAUAAAUGAGUUUUGUAGAAGAAGCGAUCUGGAAAGGUCCGCCGAAGAGGGUAAAAGCCCCGUAAUCGAAACAAAGUUCACUCUGUUGUGUAUCCUGAGUACGGCGGAACACGAGAAAUUCCGUCGGAAUCCGCGGGGACCAUCCCGCAAGGCUAAAUACUCCUUAGUGACCGAUAGUGAACCAGUACCGUGAGGGAAAGGUGAAAAGAACCCCGGAAGGGGAGUGAAAGAGCUCCUGAAACCGUGUGCUUACAAAUAGUUAGAGCCCGUUAAUGGGUGAUAGCGUGCCUUUUGUAGAAUGAACCGGCGAGUUACGAUUACAUGCGAGGUUAAGUUGAUAAGACGGAGCCGUAGCGAAAGCGAGUCUGAAUAGGGCGAAUGAGUAUGUGGUCGUAGACCCGAAACCAAGUGACCUACCCAUGUCCAGGUUGAAGGUGCGGUAAUACGCACUGGAGGACCGAACCCACGUAUGUUGAAAAAUGCGGGGAUGAGGUGUGGGUAGCGGAGAAAUUCCAAUCGAACUUGGAGAUAGCUGGUUCUCUCCGAAAUAGCUUUAGGGCUAGCCUCGGAAUUAAGAAUCAUGGAGGUAGAGCCACUGUUUGGACUAGGGGCCCUUCUAGGGUUACCGAAUUCAGAUAAACUCCGAAUGCCAUUGAUUUAUAUCCGGGAGUCAGACUGCGAGUGAUAAGAUCCGUAGUCGAAAGGGAAACAGCCCAGACCACCAGCUAAGGUCCCAAAGUUACUAUUAAGUGGAAAAGGAUGUGGGGUUGCUUAGACAACUAGGAUGUUGGCUCAGAAGCAGCCAUCAUUUAAAGAGUGCGUAAUAGCUCACUAGUCGAGUGACCCUGCGCCGAAAAUUUACCGGGGCUAAAUAGUACACCGAAGCUGUGGAUAGAACCUUAGGGUUCUAUGGUAGGAGAGCGUUCUAAGGGCGUCGAAGCUAGACCGUGAGGACUAGUGGAGCGCUUAGAAGUGAGAAUGCCGGUAUGAGUAGCGAAAGACGGGUGAGAAUCCCGUCCACCGUAUGACUAAGGUUUCCUGGGGAAGGCUCGUCCUCCCAGGGUUAGUCGGGACCUAAGCCGAGGCCGAUAGGCGUAGGCGAUGGACAACAGGUUGAUAUUCCUGUACCAGUUUCUUUUGUUUGAACAAUGGAGGGACGCAGGAGGCUAAGAAAUGCGCACUGUUGGAUAUGUGCGUCUAAGCAAUGAGUCUUGAGGUGAGUUAAAUGCUUGCUUCUGUACGGACAAGUUGUGAUGGGGAGGGAAAUUACAGUACCGAAGUUUCUGAUGUCACACUGCCAAGAAAAGCUUCUAGUUAGAAAGAAAUUGCCCGUACCGCAAACCGACACAGGUAGUCGAGGAGAGUAUCCUAAGGUGUGCGAGAGAACUCUCGUUAAGGAACUCGGCAAAAUGACCCCGUAACUUCGGGAGAAGGGGUGCUGAUCGAAAGAUCAGCCGCAGUGAAUAGGCCCAAGCGACUGUUUAUCAAAAACACAGGUCUCUGCAAAAUCGAAAGAUGACGUAUAGGGGCUGACGCCUGCCCGGUGCUGGAAGGUUAAGAGGAUUGGUUAGCUUCGGCGAAGCUAAGAAUUGAAGCCCCAGUAAACGGCGGCCGUAACUAUAACGGUCCUAAGGUAGCGAAAUUCCUUGUCGGGUAAGUUCCGACCCGCACGAAAGGCGUAACGAUUUGGGCACUGUCUCAACGAGAGACUCGGUGAAAUUAUAGUACCUGUGAAGAUGCAGGUUACCCGCGACAGGACGGAAAGACCCCAUGGAGCUUUACUGCAGUUUGAUAUUGAGUGUUUGUACAGCUUGUACAGGAUAGGUAGGAGCCAUAGAAGUCAGGACGCCAGUCUUGAUGGAGGCAUUGGUGGGAUACUACCCUUGCUGUAUGACCACUCUAACCCUAGCCACUAAUCGUGGCUGGAGACAGUGUCAGACGGGCAGUUUGACUGGGGCGGUCGCCUCCUAAAGAGUAACGGAGGCGCCCAAAGGUUCCCUCAGAAUGGUUGGAAAUCAUUCGUAGAGUGUAAAGGCAGAAGGGAGCUUGACUGCGAGACCUACAAGUCGAGCAGGGACGAAAGUCGGGCUUAGUGAUCCGGUGGUUCCGCAUGGAAGGGCCAUCGCUCAACGGAUAAAAGCUACCCUGGGGAUAACAGGCUUAUCUCCCCCAAGAGUCCACAUCGACGGGGAGGUUUGGCACCUCGAUGUCGGCUCAUCGCAUCCUGGGGCUGUAGUCGGUCCCAAGGGUUGGGCUGUUCGCCCAUUAAAGCGGUACGCGAGCUGGGUUCAGAACGUCGUGAGACAGUUCGGUUCCCUAUCCGUCGCUGGGCGCAGCAAAAUUUGAGAAGGAGGCUGUCCUUAGUACAGAGAGGACCGGGAUGGACACACCGCUGGUGUACCAGUUGUUCUGCCAAGAGCAUCGCUGGGUAGCUAUGUGUGGAAGGGAUAAACGCUGAAAGCAUCUAAGCGUGAAGCCCCCCUCGAGAUGAGAUUUCCCAUCACGUAAGUGAGUAAGACCCCUGAGAGAUGAUCAGGUAGAUAGGUUGGAAGUGGAAGUACAGCGAUGUAUGGAGCGGACCAAUACUAAUCGGUCGAGGACUUAACCAA
rfam:Carnobacterium maltaromaticum LMA28 complete genome